AGCUGCACCUCGCUGGAGCAGUUGGCUACAGUUGUUGCAACUUUUUUCGAAAGCUCGGUUUCCCGGGAGAUCCAGGCGGUGACAGAGCCGGGCCAUGGCUAGAGGUAUUUGCUUGGGUGGCUAGCGCAAGGAGCGGGGGAUGGGGGUCCCCUGGAGGGAGCCGGGUGGCGGGAGCGGCGGCGGGGUGGCGCCCUCCUGCGGGUGGAGCGCGGGGGCCGGGGGGAAGGGGGCUGCCACAGAACCUUCCCCUCCCGCUCCCCGCCCCCUGCCCCCUGCCCCUUGCCCCUAAUCCGAAGCCUGCAGGAGCGCCUCCACCGCUGCGCCUCAGGCUCCUCUCAAGUGUGGGCGCCCACUGACCGCCUCUCCAGAGGCGGCGGACCCAUGUGCCAGCGCCCUUUGGAAACUGACGACGGGGGCACCUCUGGGAGCGGUUGUUUGUUCGGGGGGGGUGGGGUCGAGGCUUUGCCCACCUUGGGGCGCCCCGUCGAGGGGCAGGAAGCGACCGGGGCGAGGGCGCAGACCCAGAGCCUGCCUCCUAGGAGCGCCGCGGAGGGCACCCUCCUUCCCCACUCCCUGAGUCAGCUCUGCGCCGCGGGGCGAGGGCCGGCCGCUGGCACACUUCGAGCAGAAACGUGUCCCCCGGCACCUCCCGGAGAAGCCCUCCGCCCAGAAGCCGGCCAGGACUCCAGCCCUUCGCGGAUGGCGUGGGUGGGCUUGUGCAGCCUCGGCGGGCGACGUGCCUGCCUCAAGUCAGUCUUUGCAUACUUAGUUUGCUGUCAGGACCGUAGAGCCCACGUUAUGCGGCAAAGAGAUCUCCAACCGCUGGUCAUUUCCAGCGACUGCCUCCUCCUGCUCGCUCAAGGGACAAAAACUUAAGCGUGACAGGCAACUAGAAUUACCGAUUUUUAAAAAAUCGAGUUGUAGUAUUCUUCUCGAAAUUCCAAGGCAUCGUGUGUUGGUAGUAAUUUGGCUUACUGUAGUGUACUCCCUGUAGCAAUAAUAAUUAAUAAAAUCACGAUUCAUUCAGCAAAUCUUUAUGGGGCCCCUUUGUUUUCAGGCCCUAUACACGAUUGCAUCAUUUAUUCAGGGUAGGAUCUUUUGGGACAAGAAUUCCCCAGGGAUUUAUUAAUUUAUUUUGUUAGUACUGGGAAUUGAGCCCCGGGGCACUUUACCAUUGGGCCAUAUCUCCAGACAUUUUUAUUUUAUUUUAUUUUCAUUUUAAGACAGAGUAUUGGUGAGUUGCCCAGGCUGGCCUGGAACCUGUGAUCCUCCUGCUUCAAUAGUAGUUGGGAUUACAGACGUGGCCACCGCAUGGGGCUAGACUUCCCUAGAUUCUAAUGAAGUAAUGAGGCCUAGUAAACUUCUGGUUAAAGAGCUGUAACCCAAUUCAUAAUUCACAGGGAAAUUAAAACUAGUAUUUUUCCUUUAAAAAGUAUAUUCAUCUGACAAGACUUAGUAAAACUGAUUCUUUGUUUUUCCCAUCACUGCAAAAACAUUUAAACUACCAGUUUCAAAAGUAAAAGUUUAAAAAAAGAAAAAAAGUGCUUAAAAUCAUUAUUUUUAAAAUUAUUUUUUUAGAUAUUGAUGGACCUUUUAUUUUAUUCAUUUAUUUAUAUGCGGUGCUGAGAAUCGAACCCAGUGCUUCACAUAUGGUAGGCAAGUGCUCUACACUGAGCUACAACCCCAGCCCAAAUAAUAAUUAUUGAGGGCCAGGCAGUUUAUUAUCUUAUUUAAUCUUUUUUUUUUUCCUUCACUUCAGAUGGGUAAUGUGCCUAUGCUGUAAUAUGUUUAGAGGGAGGCACAUCUCGCACAAUUGUGUGAAUACCCAAUCAUCACUUACGAACAGAAGGAGCUCAUUUAAUCUUACAAAACGUUUUUUCAGAGAUGGAAGCUGAAGUUCAAGUCACCUUCCAGACUCUAGCCAUGCUGUGCCUUUGCUCAUUGGGCCCCCAUCUCCCUUAAUUAGCCUAAGUGAAGGUCAAAGUUUUCCAGCUUCUACCAUGGUAGGCUUACAAAUCACCUUUGUAAUUAUUAGUUAGAGAUUUUUUUUUUAAUAUUUAUUUAUUUAUUUUAGUUUUCGGCAGACACAACAUCUUUGUUUGUAUGUGGUGCUGAGGAUCGAACCCGGGCCGCACGCAUGCCAGGCGAGCACGCUACCGCUUGAGCCACAUCCCCAGCCCCUAGUUAGAGAUUUUCACUGUCUCACUUGACCCCUGGAUUAGUACUUACCUGUUUCUUAGGCUUCGCUAAGCUUGCAGACUAGUAAAUUGGAUUGUAAACACCAAAUUAUUUGUAGAAUAGCAAAAGAAAGCUUUUUCUUCUAGAAAAUCAUUCUUUGUUUCAGACUUGCAGUUUAUUUUGAGAGCCCCAGUAUGUUACAAACUGUUCAGAUACCAGUCGACUCCUAGCUGGUUUUGAAGUUUUAUUUAUUUAUUUUUGUGGUGCUGGGAAUUGAACCCAGGGCUCUUAACCACUGAGCCACAUCCCUAGGCCUUUUUUUUUUUUAAGAGAGAUAAUUUUUUAAUAUUUAUUUUUUAGUUUUUGGUGGGCACAACAUCUUUAUUUUAUUUUUAUGUGGUGCUGAGGAUCGAACCCAGUGCCCCAAGCAUGCCAGGCGAGGGCGCUACCGCUUGAACCACAUCCCCAGCCCCAUCUAGGCCUUUUGAGACAAGAUCUCACUAAGUUGUUCAAGCUGUCCUGGAACUUGUGAUCCUCCUGCCUCAGUCUCCUGAGUUGCUAGGAUUACAGACAUGGGCCUCCCCACCCAGUUGGUUUUAAAAUUUUAUAGGCACGUAACUAUUUACAACCCCAAGUAUUUUAUUUUUAUUUAUUUAUUUUUUUUUAAAGAGAGAGGGAGAGAGAGAGAGAAUUUUAAUAUUUAUUUUUUAGUAUUUGGCGGACACAACAUCUUUGUUUGUAUGUGGUGCUGAGGAUCGAACCCCGGCCGCACGCAUGCCAGGUGAGCGUGCUACCACCGUUUGAGCCACAUCCCCAGCCCCAACCCCAAGUAUUUUAGCUUGAGGAGGAUCAGUCCAUCUACUUCUCUCAUCUCUUCUAUUGCCAAACGGCCCCUUUCAGAUUGUUCUUCCUUCAUGCAUUUUUACCACUUCCAGUUCAUUAUCCCUUCACAGGUAGAGUAGUUCCCGAGAAUACAGAUUUUUAGCAUGGGACCCUUACUACUCUCUCCUUCACCAAUCUUCCUAUUGCUCCUAGAAUAAAAUCCACAGUAACUGUGGCCUAGGAGGUCACCAACAAUGCCACCGCAAGACCCCUGGCCUCACUGUGCUCCACCUAUUUUUGUUUUCACUACCCUAUUUUUAUCACAAGACCUGAAACAAAGUAGGUAUCCAAUAAAUAUUUGUUGAAUGAAUGAAUCAGUAUGUUAGCA
rnacentral:lncRNA from 1 species